CUCUAUGGUUAUAUCACCCUGAAUCCACCCAAUAUCCUCUGAUCUUGGAAGCUAAGCAGAGUCGGCCUGGUUAUUACUGGGAAGGGAGGAGAGGUCUACAGAGU
rnacentral:rRNA from 1 species